AGAGUUUGAUCCUGGCUCAGGACGAACGCUGGCGGCGCGCCUAACACAUGCAAGUCGAACGGAGCUUAGAGAGCUUGCUUUUUAAGCUUAGUGGCGAACGGGUGAGUAACGCGUGAGUAACCUGCCCUAGAGUGGGGGACAACAGUUGGAAACGACUGCUAAUACCGCAUAAGCCCACGGUACCGCAUGGCACUGAGGGAAAAGGAUUUAUUCGCUUUAGGAUGGACUCGCGUCCAAUUAGCUAGUUGGUGAGGUAACGGCCCACCAAGGCGACGAUUGGUAGCCGGACUGAGAGGUUGAACGGCCACAUUGGGACUGAGACACGGCCCAGACUCCUACGGGAGGCAGCAGUGGGGGAUAUUGCACAAUGGGGGAAACCCUGAUGCAGCGACGCCGCGUGGAGGAAGAAGGUUUUCGGAUUGUAAACUCCUGUCGUUAGGGACGAUAAUGACGGUACCUAACAAGAAAGCACCGGCUAACUACGUGCCAGCAGCCGCGGUAAAACGUAGGGUGCAAGCGUUGUCCGGAAUUACUGGGUGUAAAGGGAGCGCAGGCGGGAAGACAAGUUGGAAGUGAAAACCAUGGGCUCAACCCAUGAAUUGCUUUCAAAACUGUUUUUCUUGAGUAGUGCAGAGGUAGAUGGAAUUCCCGGUGUAGCGGUGGAAUGCGUAGAUAUCGGGAGGAACACCAGUGGCGAAGGCGGUCUACUGGGCACCAACUGACGCUGAGGCUCGAAAGCAUGGGUAGCAAACAGGAUUAGAUACCCUGGUAGUCCAUGCCGUAAACGAUGAUUACUAGGUGUUGGGGGAUUGACCCCCUCAGUGCCGCAGUUAACACAAUAAGUAAUCCACCUGGGGAGUACGACCGCAAGGUUGAAACUCAAAGGAAUUGACGGGGGCCCGCACAAGCAGUGGAGUAUGUGGUUUAAUUCGAAGCAACGCGAAGAACCUUACCAGGUCUUGACAUCCGAUGCAUAGCACAGAGAUGUGUGAAAUCCUUCGGGACAUCGAGACAGGUGGUGCAUGGUUGUCGUCAGCUCGUGUCGUGAGAUGUUGGGUUAAGUCCCGCAACGAGCGCAACCCUUAUUGCCAGUUACUACGUUAAGAGGACUCUGGCGAGACUGCCGUUGACAAAACGGAGGAAGGUGGGGAUGACGUCAAAUCAUCAUGCCCUUUAUGACCUGGGCUACACACGUACUACAAUGGCGUUAAACAAAGAGAAGCAAGACCGCGAGGUGGAG
rnacentral:rRNA from 1 species